AACUUUUUCUCCAACCUCUCUUUCUCCCCUAACGAUAACGCAAUGCAGUGAGAUUUAACAUAACUAGUUAAUAUAAUUGGAGUGUUUUUCCUUCUUAAGGCCUUUCUUUAGUCAAGGGAGAAGAAGAAACACGUUUAAAUGCCAAGCAGGUCUGCUAUAGACCCAUGACUGGGGACGGGCUACAUGCAUCUGUAUGAGCCAGUGGCGCAGGGAGAUCUGCUCCUGAGUGCUUGGCUGGACACUCUGACUAUGCGUUGGGGCUACCCUGAGGAAUCAGCUUGGCUGUGGGGAAGCAGUCUAUCACAAUAUUUAUCUUGAGGAAAGCUUUGAAGGCAGAGGUGCAAGAUGAAUGAAGGAGUGGUGGAAGAAGAGGACAAGAGAUGGAGAUCUGCUGUUCCCUCAAAGUAUUUAAAAGGACAGAUACCACAUCUAGGUGGACCCCUGACAACCCUUAGAGCAGGCUUUGGCCUGGCUAGUGCAUGCUCUGUCUCUUGCACCCUCUUAGUUUAUUGAGUUGAUUCCUACAUUUAUGUGAGCCUGAACUAGCAUAUUGCAAACCAGCAAUUAUAGCUUUUUGGUUAGAGCAAGUGAUUUACACAUAGUGACAGUGUAGGAAUCCCUUGUGCAAGUCAAGUGACAAACUGAGCAGCCAGCCAGUCUGGAUCUAACUCACUGUUGAUAGAAGGGCCAGGCCCAUCAUUGGGCAGAAUGAGGUGGCUCACCUCAGGCAGCCAUAUUUGGAGUACCAUUAAAGAGAACACAUUUUCUUUUUUCCAGAUUUAGGAUACUGUGAUUCUAAGCACUUGUCUGAGAGGAAGCUUCAUGGAACUCAGUGAUACUUACUUCUGAGUAAUGUGCUUAAGAGAAGACUGUUUUGUCAUUACAUUUUUAACACCGCAGGUGAGAGGUUGUCUGCCUGAGGAACCAAAAUGCCUUGAUUGGUAUUCAGCUAGAACUCAAUGAAAAGCAACAAAAUUCAGCA